UAUUUAGUUAAUUUACUGUGGUAUCAACCUAAUCAAAAUCUUCAUAUGUGAAGUGCUUUCAGACUUCAUUGGUGCUGAAUUUUUGAGUAUAUUAUCACCAGAAUGUCAUACAAAAUAACUUGGGCAGAAAACAGAUACCUUUGGACAAUGGUUACACCAAGGGCAGUGAAUGCAUUUCUCUUUUCACCAUUGGUCAGCUGACUUGCCUUCCCAGUUGCAAUGAAGAAGAAUGAUUAGUCAAAAGUAUUAAAAGGAAACAAGCAACAGUUAUGGUUCGUUUGGUUGGAGCCCUUUGUCAACAAAGGGAGAGAGGACCAAGUCAAACGUAUCCGAAAGGUACGGGGUUACAAGAUGGAAGCUUAGCCACGGUUUAUUGUCAAACAAAUAGACACGGCUGUCGGAGCCCUUUGUGAGCAGGGCAUUUGACGAACCGGGCACUCAAAUGACGCUAAAGACUUUUCACUUUGCUGGUGUGGCACCGAUGAACAUCACACAGGAACUUUCUGGAUUAAGGAAAUCAUUAACGCCCUAAAGGCCUUUAGUACACCUGUUAUCUCCACCCAGCUUCUAAUUGUUGACGACCCGUAAUAUGCGCGACAAGUUAAAGGAAGGAUCGAAAACAAUUUUCGGAGAAAUAAAUUAAACAAUUUUUCGUUAUCAAUAUUUUUCAAUUGUCUUUUUAUGUGACGGGAUAUUUCGAUGAAGUAUAACUGCCUGAUUAUGUUUAAUGUCGAUUAAAUUAGACAUUAACCGAAUCCGCUUGCUAAAACUCGAGGUGGCUGCAAAUUCUAUCUAGUAGAGCCUAUGUAUACAUGUAAACUGAAAAUAAAGCCUGCUUUCAUCGAAGUCAUUAGUGAAACAAUACAAAUUGUAAAGCUGUGCUCCAUCUGCAAAAUCGUCAAUGUAUCUGUGAGGCAGUACCUCAAAGAACAAUUGCCUAGGGACUUCAUACAGGCUGCAUAUAGCCGAGCUGUCAUCAACAUCGACGAUACAAGGAAACCGCAUAGAUAGUGUGUAGGUUUUGAUUUCUAUGUCAGCUGCAGCAAUGACAAUGACCAUGACUAACAUGUGGAAAUGAUAGCAAACGGCGUAAACAUUUUUAGAAGAAAACAGACAGUUUUCAAUUUUUUUUUUAAAUUCCCAAUGUCAAGGUUUAUCUGUUAACUGCUUCAAAUUGGCUCAGAAUUAGGCAGCAAUUUUGGAAGUUGUUGCUUUCUCAGUAUGAAUGAGUUUCAAUGUUGGUGUUGCAGGUGUUACCCAUGUUACGUUGACUGUUUGGAUUCCUAUUCAUUAACAUUUCAAAACCAAAUUCAUCUUCUUAAAAUUGACUCGAAAGGAUUUGGAUCAUUCUAGGAACAUAUCUAUCAAAGAUGCAAAGCUCUAAUGGGAUUAAUUUAUCCGUCAAGUACGUUUUCAUUUGCAGUCUGUAUGUCCUUUCCGAAGGCUCUGCCAGAAGAAUAUGCUAAAUAAUGAAUUGAUGAAUCGCGUAAGUUACACGAGCAAGAAUUUUUAUGCCUAACGAUGUUUUAUUUUCUUAAUAUAGAUUAAUGAUAAACUUGGAUCUGAAAAGGUGCCUUGGUUGGGGCAAGAUACCGAAUAAAGUUUAAUGAUUGGAUGCACUA